UGUCUGCUUCCCAACCAUCAGUUGACCCAAGGCGCAGGCCUCUGCAGCUCCAGCUUGAGUCACCCAACUGGCCCUGCCCAGGACUGAUCCAUCCUCAGGAAUGGUUCUGACGACAGAAGACUGUCCAGGAAGGCUGGCUCACCCCAGCUCUCCCGUACCUGCUCCUUAGCUCGUGUGUGUAUAUGACAGGGUGACUGGGGUGGGGUCUCUCACCAGCGGGCUGUGGGGGCCCUCGAGGCAGGUCCAGCUCUGGUGGGUGGCUGCUCCGCGUGAUGAUGACCGGCUCCUCCGUCACGUUGAUGCUGUUACACUGCAUGAGGUCCUGCAGCAGGUUGAAGAUGUCCUCUGCCCUCGAACACUUGAAUGCAAAGAUGCCUGGGGAAGCUCCAGUACAGGGUAACUGAAGUUUGUAUAAACAGGACGAGAAAGACGGCACGAUAUGUGAAAGCUGGACAAGACCAGAAGGACAGAAGUGGUGAUACGUGGCUGUAAUCCCACACUUGGGAGGUGCCAAGUGCGGAUCAACCUCACCAGGAGGAAGGUGGCCUCUGCCUCACCUCUCUGCUCACACGCCAUGCUUGCCUGUACCACAGGGAUGAGGUGCAUGCCAGGAAAGGCCCUUCAGCAAUCAACCCGGAACACGCAUUGCUUUGUGCUGUCUCGGGAGAGACAGCUCUGUCUGCGUGCAGCACAGUCCCAAGAAGGACUCCUCGUGCUGAGCAUGUGUGGACCUAAGAAGCAAGGCCAGACCUCAUGUCCCAACCUCAAGCUCAUGAGCAGCCUGCCAGCCCCUGAGCCCUGCCUGUAGAGGGCACAUGGGCAGGGGAUACAGUAUACUCCACUGCCCACAGGUGAAGGUGGACAAAGGUCAGGCUCUGGAAGGUUACGCUGUAUAUGAGAGACCCAAAAUCCUGCUGCCCAAGUCUCUGUGCAAGCUCCUCAGCCCUGAGUAGCCAUUCUCCUGCCUGACUUCUCUUCCACUGUGCACGGAGGCCAGUGUGUAGGGCCUGGCAGCUCAGGAGGGGUUUUCCUAUGCAAAGGCAAUAAAGACCUUGGAACCAUGG
rnacentral:lncRNA from 1 species